GAUAAGCGUCGGUAAGGUGAUAUGAACCGUUAUAACCGGCGAUUUCCGAAUGGGGAAACCCAGUGUGAUUCGUCACACUAUCAUUAACUGAAUCCAUAGGUUAAUGAGGCGAACCGGGGGAACUGAAACAUCUAAGUACCCCGAGGAAAAGAAAUCAACCGAGAUUCCCCCAGUAGCGGCGAGCGAACGGGGAGGAGCCCAGAGCCUGAAUCAGUGUGUGUGUUAGUGGAAGCGUCUGGAAAGGCGCGCGAUACAGGGUGACAGCCCCGUACACAAAAAUGCACAUGCUGUGAGCUCGAUGAGUAGGGCGGGACACGUGGUAUCCUGUCUGAAUAUGGGGGGACCAUCCUCCAAGGCUAAAUACUCCUGACUGACCGAUAGUGAACCAGUACCGUGAGGGAAAGGCGAAAAGAACCCCGGCGAGGGGAGUGAAAAAGAACCUGAAACCGUGUACGUACAAGCAGUGGGAGCACAGAGCAAUCUGUGUGACUGCGUACCUUUUGUAUAAUGGGUCAGCGACUUAUAUUCUGUAGCAAGGUUAACCGAAUAGGGGAGCCGAAGGGAAACCGAGUCUUAACUGGGCGUUAAGUUGCAGGGUAUAGACCCGAAACCCGGUGAUCUAGCCAUGGGCAGGUUGAAGGUUGGGUAACACUAACUGGAGGACCGAACCGACUAAUGUUGAAAAAUUAGCGGAUGACUUGUGGCUGGGGGUGAAAGGCCAAUCAAACCGGGAGAUAGCUGGUUCUCCCCGAAAGCUAUUUAGGUAGCGCCUCGUGAAUUCAUCUCCGGGGGUAGAGCACUGUUUCGGCAAGGGGGUCAUCCCGACUUACCAACCCGAUGCAAACUGCGAAUACCGGAGAAUGUUAUCACGGGAGACACACGGCGGGUGCUAACGUCCGUCGUGAAGAGGGAAACAACCCAGACCGCCAGCUAAGGUCCCAAAGUCAUGGUUAAGUGGGAAACGAUGUGGGAAGGCCCAGACAGCCAGGAUGUUGGCUUAGAAGCAGCCAUCAUUUAAAGAAAGCGUAAUAGCUCACUGGUCGAGUCGGCCUGCGCGGAAGAUGUAACGGGGCUAAACCAUGCACCGAAGCUGCGGCAGCGACACUAUGUGUUGUUGGGUAGGGGAGCGUUCUGUAAGCCUGUGAAGGUGUGCUGUGAGGCAUGCUGGAGGUAUCAGAAGUGCGAAUGCUGACAUAAGUAACGAUAAAGCGGGUGAAAAGCCCGCUCGCCGGAAGACCAAGGGUUCCUGUCCAACGUUAAUCGGGGCAGGGUGAGUCGACCCCUAAGGCGAGGCCGAAAGGCGUAGUCGAUGGGAAACAGGUUAAUAUUCCUGUACUUGGUGUUACUGCGAAGGGGGGACGGAGAAGGCUAUGUUGGCCGGGCGACGGUUGUCCCGGUUUAAGCGUGUAGGCUGGUUUUCCAGGCAAAUCCGGAAAAUCAAGGCUGAGGCGUGAUGACGAGGCACUACGGUGCUGAAGCAACAAAUGCCCUGCUUCCAGGAAAAGCCUCUAAGCAUCAGGUAACAUCAAAUCGUACCCCAAACCGACACAGGUGGUCAGGUAGAGAAUACCAAGGCGCUUGAGAGAACUCGGGUGAAGGAACUAGGCAAAAUGGUGCCGUAACUUCGGGAGAAGGCACGCUGAUAUGUAGGUGAAGCGACUUGCUCGUGGAGCUGAAAUCAGUCGAAGAUACCAGCUGGCUGCAACUGUUUAUUAAAAACACAGCACUGUGCAAACACGAAAGUGGACGUAUACGGUGUGACGCCUGCCCGGUGCCGGAAGGUUAAUUGAUGGGGUCAGCGCAAGCGAAGCUCUUGAUCGAAGCCCCGGUAAACGGCGGCCGUAACUAUAACGGUCCUAAGGUAGCGAAAUUCCUUGUCGGGUAAGUUCCGACCUGCACGAAUGGCGUAAUGAUGGCCAGGCUGUCUCCACCCGAGACUCAGUGAAAUUGAACUCGCUGUGAAGAUGCAGUGUACCCGCGGCAAGACGGAAAGACCCCGUGAACCUUUACUAUAGCUUGACACUGAACAUUGAGCCUUGAUGUGUAGGAUAGGUGGGAGGCUUGGAAGUGUGGACGCCAGUCUGCAUGGAGCCGACCUUGAAAUACCACCCUUUAAUGUUUGAUGUUCUAACGUUGACCCGUAAUCCGGGUUGCGGACAGUGUCUGGUGGGUAGUUUGACUGGGGCGGUCUCCUCCUAAAGAGUAACGGAGGAGCACGAAGGUUGGCUAAUCCUGGUCGGACAUCAGGAGGUUAGUGCAAUGGCAUAAGCCAGCUUGACUGCGAGCGUGACGGCGCGAGCAGGUGCGAAAGCAGGUCAUAGUGAUCCGGUGGUUCUGAAUGGAAGGGCCAUCGCUCAACGGAUAAAAGGUACUCCGGGGAUAACAGGCUGAUACCGCCCAAGAGUUCAUAUCGACGGCGGUGUUUGGCACCUCGAUGUCGGCUCAUCACAUCCUGGGGCUGAAGUAGGUCCCAAGGGUAUGGCUGUUCGCCAUUUAAAGUGGUACGCGAGCUGGGUUUAGAACGUCGUGAGACAGUUCGGUCCCUAUCUGCCGUGGGCGCUGGAGAACUGAGGGGGGCUGCUCCUAGUACGAGAGGACCGGAGUGGACGCAUCACUGGUGUUCGGGUUGUCAUGCCAAUGGCACUGCCCGGUAGCUAAAUGCGGAAGAGAUAAGUGCUGAAAGCAUCUAAGCACGAAACUUGCCCCGAGAUGAGUUCUCCCUGACUCCUUGAGAGUCCUGAAGGAACGUUGAAGACGACGACGUUGAUAGGCCGGGUGUGUAAGCGCAGCGAUGCGUUGAGCUAACCGGUACUAAUGAACCGUGAGGCUUAACCUUACAACGCCGAAGGUGUUU
rnacentral:rRNA from 1 species